UUUCAAAAAAAAUGGUAUCAUUAUAAAUCUGAGCCAAAUUGCUUGUAGAAUAGGUAUUCACAGAAAAACAGAAAGCUGUUAUAUAUUAUAACAAAUGCCUAUAUUUUUCAUAUUUUUCCCUUUUUUUUUUUUCAGUUUUUCGAAUUCGAUGAGACAAUUGAAAUAUGACCAUCCUAAAGUACCUACUCACACCGAUUCCCUUUCAGAAAAGGUGCUACACUUAAAAAUCUGAGCAGGUAUUCAGG